GGUGAUUUGGCCGACAGGAAUCCCCGCGUGCCCCCCCCCUCCCGGACACACGGCGCAGGAGACGGCUCGCCCUAGAAUUUGUUGUCUGACACAAAGCAAAGGGGAAGCAGUUUGCAUGGGCUGAAGACCAGAGCUGAGGCCCAACAGUUCUAACUGCAGCCUCCCAUUCAGAGAGAGACUAUGCUACUGUUUUCAGCCACAGGACAUCUCCCCACUUCCUCAUCAAGAAAUGCUCUCCCAGUGCUUGACGCACUUCAAAGUCUCAGCAGUCAGCAGACCUGUUACUUGACACACAGAUCAUCUGGUUUGCCUCAAAAAUGCAUCACAACUGCAGCAAGUACUGUACUUACAUGUG